UAUUAUAGUACACUUAACCAACAGCCGCAUGUGCGUUGUUUUUGUUGACAUUAUACUAAUAUUGUUAUAAGUAUAAAAGUGGGAUCAUAGCGGAUUUGUGUUGAAGUGCGCGUCUGACAGUGCCGGAGACGUGAAACGAGCUAAGCUAAAUUAAGCUAAACUAAGGUACGCUACGCUAAGCUAAGCUAGAAAGUGGAUAGCGGUCCUAACAGCAUUAAGUAACCGCGGUGGAGUAGCGUGUUUAGCUGACGGGAUUUAGGCAGCUACAGGCGGGCAGUGAGAGUCACACAGCGAGCUGGUGUGCAGGAGCUGCAGUUAAACAGUGCACUCUGUUAUUCACUGAUCACUCACACAGGCACAGAAGUGCUGAAGGCGUUUAGCUCACUGAACGCUACACCUGCACGCCGGCUUUUUAUGACUAGGAUUAUAAGUGAAUGUUCCAGUGUUAGAGCACUAACGCUAGCAAAACUAGUCGGGACAAACCAGCUAGAGCUUAGCUGACGUUUUAAUCAACCGGUGUCGAAGCUCAGUAGAUAACGGCAGAGUUUGGAGUUUUUACUGCUUUGAAUGCACACGUAAAGACACGAUCCAGUGGUAGAUCACGGCUGUAGUGAAACGCGACUCUCCUGAUUGUUAGGACCGCGUCAACCCUCCUAUGCGCAGUGGAGGAAAACAUUCCUGGCUCUUGCCCAGAUAAAUUGAUAAUGCAGAUAAUUACUUGCUAUGAGCCUCCAGGAGCAGCACGGAGCGUCAUCAUCAUCAUCGUUAUCCUCCUCGUCCUCCUCAGCUAGGCGCUCAAACUGUCGAGCCAAAUCUCACUAGCCAGUCAGAGUAAGUCACUGUUAAGCCCCGCCAACAUAUGAGAUUUGUGCCAGAAUGGCGAAUGUAAACUUGAGGAUGGAAACGAAAACUUUGAACGUGUAAACGAAAGAUCUGGUAACGCAUUCAUAAACCAUGAUUAGCGAAAAUCCAUCCAUCCUCUAUACCGCUUAUCCUUUUCAGGGUCAUGGGGAAACCUGGAGCCUAUCCCAGGGAGCAUCGGGCACAAGGUGGGGUACACCCCGGACAGGGUGCCAAUUGAUUAGCGAAAAUGAAGCCUAGAAAACUGUUAACGAAGAACGCUGUUUAUUUGUAGACCAUGUUACAUUUUUGCCACCGAGUUCACCAUUUUCCGUUUCAGAGUGUUUUUCUUCUUUCUCAUUGUAUAAUUUGGUUCCUUUCUUGAAACGUUACAUUCAAUACUUUUGGCACAAAUCUAAUCCCAUACUGUCCUGUGUAGCUAUUCGGUAUUGUCCAUAUAAACUAUACUCUCAUGUGUCUCCACCAACUUUCAAAACAAACCUAUGGCAGCUUCCGAACACGAAAAGCACUCGCGCUAGCAUGACGAGAUCUCCAGCUCAGAUCCAAACGCUGCCGCUGUCAUCCAGAGUGGGAGGGAUGGCGUGCUCGCUCCCUGUCAGUCACAGCGACACUAGACUAUCGUGGACUCCUCAUCUAGAUUGAAGAGGGUAGAUAGCGUUUUCCUCCAAGUGUUUUACUCUGCCCUGUGCAGCAGCGUGAGCAGCAGUUCAGUCUUGUAGGAAGCACAUUUGCCUGAACAUCCCUGGUUGUUAGCUGUUUGUAUGUUUUAUGAGCUGAUUUUAUUCUAUAAUUCAAACUAGUGAUCCUUGGGUAGAGCUACUCUCAUCUAAAUGAAUGUAAAUCUAAAUGCUUGAUGAUGUACAGCGUAUUUUUGUAACAACGUAAUAUAAAGUUCUUUUAUUUUCUCAUUUAUUGCAGAAGACAAAGCAGGUAUUUAAAAGGUAUCUGAAACAGACGUCACACUG
ensembl:lncRNA